AUUGAACGCUGGCGGCAUGCCUUACACAUGCAAGUCGAACGGAGUGGCGAACGGGUGAGUAAUGUAUCGGAACGUGCCCAGUAGCGGGGGAUAACUACCCGAAAGCGUCGCUAAUACCGCAUACUAUUGGAGCGGCCUAUAUCGGAUUAGCUAGUUGGUGGGGUAACGGCUCACCAAGGCGACGAUCCGUACCUGGUUUGAGAGGAUGACCAGCCACAGUGGAACUGAGACACGGUCCAGACUCCGACGGGAGGCAGCAGUGGGGAAUUUUGGACAAUGGGGGAAACCCUGAUCCAGCCAGCCCGCGUGUGCGAUGAAGGCCUUCGGGUUGUAAAGCACUGUAGGCAGGGAAGCGGUACCUGCAGAAUAAGCACCGGCUAACUACGUGCCAGCAGCCGCGGUAAUAC
rnacentral:rRNA from 1 species